GGUGGGGGUAAGAUGUACGCAGUCCAUACCUCUACCUCUGAUGAAGUAGAAAGGUUGUUUCCGAUAGACCCUCGGCUCAAGGCACGAGAUACCACACAAACACAUAGUGCAGCACAGAAGCAGAUUACAUAACAUAAAUACGGAACCCAUAAGUAAUAUAAAGCAGAGGAAAGCAGGGGAAAGCACACAGAUUCAUAAUACAACAUGGAACACGGAACACGGAAUCAUGACAAGAAUAAAACCCCCACCACCCUCCAUACCUUCCUAUCUAGGGUCAUGUCCUGGGUGAGCUGUAACUGUUCCAUGUCCCGCCUAACCACCUCACCCCAGUACUUCUUUGGCCUACCCCUACCCCGCCUAAAACCAUCCAACGCUAGCCUCUCACACCUACGGACCGGGGCAUCCAUGCCCCUCCUCUUCACGUGUCCGAACCAUCUCAAUCGUGCUUCCCGCAUCUUACACUCCACUGAAGUCACACCAACCUUCUCCCGGAUAGUCUCAUUCCGAACUCUAUCCCCUCGAGUCAGUCCACACAUCCAGC
rnacentral:lncRNA from 1 species